AACGUAGGUGGCAAGCGUUAUCCGGAUUUACUGGGCGUAAAGCGUGUGCAGGCGGGGGUACGAAGUGGUGUAUGAAAUUUCCCAGCUUAACUGGGAAGGUUAUGCCAGACUGUACUUCUGGAGUGCGAGAGAGGGGCGUGGAAUUCCGGGUGUAGUGGUGAAAUGCGCAGAUAUCAGGAGGAACACCGGUGUGGAAGGCGGUCUCUGGGCCUA
rnacentral:rRNA from 1 species